AUUGAACGCUGGCGGCAGGCCUAACACAUGCAAGUCGAGCGAACCUAGCUUGCUAGGUGAGCGGCGAACGGGUGAGUAACACGUAGGAAUCUGCCCGAUAGUGGGGGACAACGUCUCGAAAGGGACGCUAAUACCGCAUACGCCCUCAGGGGGAAAGCAGGGGAUCUUCGGACCCUGCGACAUCGGAUGAGCCUGCGUCGGGUUAGCUAUGUGGCGGGGUAACGGCCCACCAAGGCGACGAUCCGUAGCUGGUCUGAGAGGAUGAUCAGCCACACCGGAACUGAGACACGGUCCGGACUCCUACGGGAGGCAGCAGUGGGGAAUAUUGGACAAUGGGGGCAACCCUGAUCCAGCCAUGCCGCGUGUGUGAAGAAGGCCUUCGGGUUGUAAAGCACUUUAAGCGGGGAGGAAAGUUUGCUGGCUAAUAUCCAGCGGAAUUGACGUUACCCGCAGAAUAAGCACCGGCUAACUCCGUGCCAGCCGCCGCAGUAA
rnacentral:rRNA from 1 species